ACUGGGGAUGCGACGGCAGGCAGGUGUGGGCAGGCGAGCGCCGCCGCUCCGACUCUCCGUGGCGCGCGCUCCGGCCAGGGGCUGGGGACGCCGCUGUGCACCCGGUGGGAGCUUUGCGUCCAGGCUUUCCACCAGGCAGUUCUUACAGUUUGCCAAACUUUGGUUUCUGUUUCGAUUCUCUUCUCCAGCACUUUCCAAACGCAAUCAACUGGGAGGGGACUGUCUGUUUCGUCGGGGCGGAGCCACCCUUUGGCUGGGUUUUUCAAGGAGAGGCCAUUGGAUAAGGGCACCGCGGGAAAUGGAAAAGGAAAGCGAAUUCUCUCCUACACCGAGUAAGAUAACGCUCCAGCAAUGCUCUUUUUCCGGGUGUCUUGCCUUCCAAUCAAGGUUCUGCCUCAAAAAUCAGACCUUACAGAAGUUUCCGCAGCCCUUUUGCACCAUCCCUUUGCAACCUGAGUGUGGAGGCUAGAAGAGCAUGUGAUGCCUGUGACGCUUACCACUGGAAAGGUAAAGAGAGACUGACUGCCACAGAGCCUGAUGCAAGCAAGGAAGGAAUUACCCCUUGCUGGGAAUGCAGGUAGAUUUUGUCUGGCCGGAGUGGGUGAGACUGCAAAGGAUAGGUAAAGAGAUGAAGCUAAGAAGACAUCUUUCCGUAGAUCUGUGACUCCAGGUUCCCAGGACAUAGAGGUUCUUGGUCCUUCCUAGAAUAAACCUGGCCUCGUGUGAGCCCCCAAGAACUAACUUGUUCUUCGGGGAGCUUAGAGGUGGAUAUGAAGAAAGAGUGAGUAAUGAUAAACAGCUUUCUUGCUUCAUGCUUAGUUAGAUUGCUAGUAUUUAUACAGCUUCAAUCAGUGCCUGGUGACAGACAGGAAGGGACUUUAACCACCAACUCAGCCUAGGAGGAAGCCAAGAGAGAGGGUUUCCUGUCUGCAAGCAUGAAAGCUCCCCGUAUUUUUUAAUACACAACUUUCUUUUAAUAAAACAAAACCAAAAAAUCCCCCAACAACUUAUUUUUUAUAUAGCUGCCAUUCUUUUCUUGGAUUCAAUACAGCAAGAUUUGGCUGAAGCAGCUAGGAACUUAAUUAGCAACUAAUGUACCAACUUGUAGUAAACAUCAACAUUUGUCUAUGUCAUGAGGGAAAAAAAAAGACACCCACACUGAAAAAUGGCAGCUUCAUUUCAGCAUACAAGCCACAUAAAAUGAGUCCUUAAGGUUGCUACUCACUAAAGCAUUCUGCAACUGUGGUUGAUUGAGUGGUGGUAUAUAUACAUCACAGUUAGAACCUCAUGCUUCAGAAUUAUAUGGAAGGGUCAUUGAAGCUGUCAAAAAGACACAUUUAGGAAAAGUAAUUUGUUCACAAAGCAUAUUCAAUGAAGUCUGGAUAGGCCAGGGAAGCCUGUUGGCAGUAUAGACUGGGUAAGUACAGAAUCUUUGUGUCCAAUUGAGCACUUUAUGGCAAGCUGUCUUAUUUUAUUCUCUAAUUAUAUUAUGUGUUGUUUUUAGGUGCUGUCGAGUUGGGCUCCCACUCUUAGCGGCCUUAUGUAGUCAGUGAAACAAUGUCCAGUCCUGUGCCAUCCUCACAAUCAUUGCUAAGUUUGAGCAUGUUGUUGAAGCCACUGUAUCAAUCCAUCUUGUUGAGGGUCUUCCUCUUUUUCACUGACCCUCUACUUUACCAAGCAUGCUGUCCUUGUCCUGGGAUUCGUCCCUCCUAAUAACAUGUUCAAAAUUCGUUAAGACUCGCCAUCCUCGCUUCUAAGGAACAUUCUGGCUGUACUUCCUCCAAGACAGAUUUGUUUCUUCUUCUGGCAGACCUUGGUAUAUUCAAUAUUCUUAACCAACACCACAAUUAGAAUGCAUCAAUUCUUUUUUGGUCUUCUUUUUUUAUGUUUUGCGGUUAAGCCUUUUUCUUCCCCAAAGGAUUGUAAGCUGCUUGAAAAAGGGACAUAUUUACACAGUAACCAGUACAGUACUCUAUAAAUAGUGGCCAGUGGCCAUUGACAUUUCCCCUGAAUGGGAAUUUUAUUUGUGCUCAGCCUAGCUGCUGGCCUAAUGUCAAACACAGUGAAACUUGCUGAAGUGAAAGGAACUUUGGCCUUGAAGGUAGGACUGAUUUAUGCUAUUCUCUUCUGUUUAUUCUUAGAUUGGUACUAUUUCUUUAAUUUUGGAAACCCUGGUGGUGUAGUGGUUAAGUGCUACGGCUGUUAACCAAAAGGUCGGCAGUUCAAAUUCUCCAGGCGCUCCUUGGAAACUCUAUGGGGCAGUUCUACUCUGUCCUAUAGGGUCGCUAUAAGUCAGAAUCGACUCGACAGCAACGGGUUAGUGGGUAUUUCUUUAAUUAAUUUUGGGAGCUGACCUUGUACCUAGGUUGAUAAUAAUAGAAGAGAGCUAAAUUAGAUGUUUCUACACAAGUAUUCAAAUUACUAAUUUCUGUCAUUGGGUUUAAGAGGAUAUCUUUUUAGGACAAUUCCGAAAAAGCACCCCCCCUUACCCUCCCCCCCAGCUGCUGGCAGGUUCCAUUCAAUAUGUUAAAGAAAAACAAACAAACAAACCAGAAAACACUCUGUCCCACUGCACCCUUCCUGUGUCUUUUAGUUUCAAACACCGGGGAAUGAGAGGAGACUGCUGAUUAAACAUGGGGAGAUAGUUAAUAUCAUCUCCUUGACACCGCUUCAUAAGAAUUGCUGUCCUGUAGGAGAGAGGAUCCAAAGCAGUUCGGACUCACAGUGACAACAUGUACAACAGAGCAAAACACAGUCUGGUCCUGCACCAUCCUCACAGUCAUUGCUAUGUUUGAGCCACUGUUGCAGCCACUGUGUCAGUCCAUCUGGUUGGGAGUCUUCCUCUUUUUCACUGACCCUCUACUUUAUCAACCGUGAUGUCCUUCUCCAGGGACUAGUCCCUCCUGAUAACAUGUCCAAACUACGUGAGAUGGAGUCUCGCCAUCCCCAUUUUCAAGCAGUGCUCUGACUGUACUACUUCUGGAAAAAAUUUUUUCAUUCUUCUGGGCCGUAGAAAAAAACCUGUUGCCAUCAAGUCGAUUCUGACUCACAGCGACUCUAGAGGACAUAGUAGAACUGCUCCACAUAGGGUUUCCAAGGAGUGUGUGGUGGAUUCAAACUGCUGACCUUUUUCAAUGGCAUAUUCAGUAUUCUUUUCCAACACCGUAAUUGAAAGGUGUCAAUUCUUCUUCAGUCUUCCUUAUUAAUUGUCCAGAUUUUGCAUGCAUACAAGGCGAUAGAAAAUACCAUGGCUUGGGUCAGGCGCACCUUAGUCCUCAAAGUGACAUCUUUGCUUUUCUAAUAGUUGAAGGGGCUAAGCAGGUCCCUGGUGCUGAAAACCCUGUAACACCCAGCACAAAGCAAGAGUUAAAACAGUAGGAAGCAAAAAAAAAAAAAAAAAGGAGUAAAAAUAACAUUCAAGAUAGCUCAUGUUGAGCUACCUCGAAGAGACCUUAGAGGCCCUCUCUGGAAUUCUCUGAUAACUGCCCUCCUCAAGAUAACUGAGCAGCAACAUAGUCACAGCUGUAACAGUAAGGAAAAAACUAGAAGAGGAGCACCCACCUCCAUGUUACCAGGCAACUGGGCUGAACCCAUGCUUGCAAUUAGUGUGGUGGAGGCAUGGCUCCACAAAUGACUGAAGGUUCUGCCAACUUUGCCCAGAUUUUCCAGCUUUCAGAAAUAAUUAAGACUGAGGAUUAAGCCUGAUUUGACUGUCACCAGGGAGGUCCAAAGGCCUUAUGUUACAAUUAAAAUUCAACGGGGGAGUGAAAAGACAUGUAUGUCUUUGGUUUUUAGAUACUAUUGCACAGAUGACUGUGAUCUCUAUAAAACCUGGCACCAAAAUGAGAAAAACUUUUGCGUCUGAGGUCACCUUCUUUGAGACCCUUGCCCAAACCUGACUGUGGAUAAGUUCCUUCAGGGCCCCUACAAAUCCCUAUUACAUGUAUUGAUGAUAUUGAUGUUUUAAUGGACAUAUUUGUAAACCUUUACCUCCAACCCUGACAGGAAUUGCUGCAGUUAGGGCCAUUUUAGUGGGACAUGCAGAAACUGUGACAUAGACUAUAGCUAUUAGCCUGGCCGUUCGAUCUGGCCACGGACAUCCCUCAAAGUAAGCCUCUGUGGGGAUGAGACAUCUGGGGAAAAAAAAAAAAAAAUCAGUUCUGGUCUUGUUAAGCUUUUGUUACUUGUGUGGAUGGUCACCAAAAAGCUCCCUUUGCUGAGAGGAAAACAACCAAGGAGCAGACCGUUCCUGCCAACUGACUACUGAGGCUGAAGCAUCCUCUAUUCCAAAGCAAAGAGAUGCGCAAUCAACCACCUCCUGGAUUUAAGAGAGGAUGGCCUGUGGAGGAUCACACACCAUCCUAGACUGGGCCUACACACAUGGACUGCCAGUGUCAUCAGAAAAAGCCAGACAGCAUAGAAAAGCUGACCUGCCUACAAGACCCUGGCCAAGGCAAAAACCUGCCCAGGGACAGAUUCCUGAGCCAACGGACCAGGGCGUUCGGCCAGUAAAUCAUAUCAGGGCCUCUUAUUUUAUACAGAGACUUCCACUGGAUGUUGAAUGAACUCUUCGCACUCCAUAUCACCCCCAAGACAUAGGGGCUGUUGAGCACUUCAGUGGACAGGCUUAAAUGGCUAAUGGGAGGGAACAAGACAACCCCAGCCGGAACUAUACAUCUCAGAUUAUCUCACAAGGAUGGACAAGCCCUUCAUCCAUGGGCCCCAAUGAUACAGGCUUUUGCCAGAGCUACCGAUCAUACCAACUGUUGGCUUUGUCAAUAUUUGAACCAAGAUGACGCGUCAUCUCCCCACAUUGUUCCAGCUGCUCUGUCAACAAGGAGGAUACCUCACGGACCAACUGAAUGUGUAACCUGGUGUAGUGAGGAGAUCAUGUGGCAAAUGAAUACGUUCAACUCCACCACUCAUGGAAAACAGCUUUUGAAAUAUGAAAGCUGCUUGUGCGGAGCGCUCCAACUUUAGAAGGAAAUUUCUCUCUGCAUUAAAAAAUGUAAAUGGCAUUGGACUAGAUGGUUUAACUCUGAGAUCUGUACUUUUAAGACAAAGUUUAACAUUACUCUGGACAUACAGAACUUACAGAAUAUGACCAGGGGUUCCAAAGUACAUUGACUAACUACACCAAGCCUGGAUUAACAUGGUCUGACAAUGGUAAUAACUUGUUCAGUUGUGCUGAGAGAGCUUCUGUAUUACUUGUACUGAAAUGUGUACGGUUCAUACAAUGUGUCACGUUGGGUGAAAUACACUGUUUUUACAUACAUGAAUCAGGACAUGUUAUACGUACAUAAGAUUGGACAAAUGCUGCCCUUUGAUCUAUUUGGUUGGCUUGGAUUAAGCCACAACUGGGGUGGCUGGUUGGGAUCUCUCCUCCAAGCAGGCCUGAUCAAUCUGCUGGGGACAGUCCUACUUGCUGUUGUUGUUAGGUGCUGUUGAGUAGGUUCCAACUCGUAGUGACCCUAUGAACAACAGAAUGAAACACUGCUUGGUCCUGCACCAUUCUCACAAUCAUUGUUAUGCUUGAGCCCAUUGUUGCAGCCACUGUGUCAAUCCAUCUUGUUGAGGGUCUUCCUCUUUUUUGAUGACCCUCUACCAAGCACAAUGCCCUUCUCCAGGGACUUUAUCUCUCCUGAUCACAUGUCCAAAAUAUGUGAGACAGUUCUCACCACCCUUGCUUCUAAGGAGCAUUCUGGUUGUACUUCUUUCCAAGACAGAUUUAUUCAUUCUUUUGGCAGUCCCUGUGUCUUAGUCAUCUAUUGCUGCUAUAACAGAAAUACCACAAGUUGAUGGCUUUAACAAAGAGAAACUUAUUUCUUCAUAGUAAAGUAGGCUAAAAGUCCAAAUUCAGGGUGUCAGCUCCAGGGGAAGGCUUUCUCUCCCUGGGCUGGCGUUCUCAUCAAUCUUCCCCUGAACUAGGAGCUUCUCCAUGCAGGGACCCUGAGUCCAAAGGCUGUGCUCUGCUCCUGGCACUGCUUUCUUGGUGGUAUGAGGUCCCCCUGUCGCUCUGAUCCUUUCUUUCUUUUAUAUCUCAAGAGAUUGGCUCAAGACACAAUCCAAUCUUGUAGAUUGAGUUCUUCCUCACUAACACAACUGCUGCCCAUCCUCCCUCAUUAACAUAAUAGAGGCAGGAUUUACAACAUAUAGGAAAAUCACACAAUACCGGGAAUCAUGGCCCAGCCAAACUGAUACACACGUUUUUGGGGGGACAUAAUUCAAUCCAUAACACCAUGGUAUAUUCAAUAUUCUUCACCAACACCCAAAUUCAUAGGUGUUAUUUCUUUGGUCUUCCUUAUUCAUCAUCCAGCUUUAGCACGCACAUGAGGUGAUUGAAAACACCAUGGCUUGGGUCAGGCACACCUUAGUCUUCAAGGUGACAUCUUUGCUUUUCAACACUUUAAGGAGGUCUUUGGCAGCCGAUUUGCCGAACUGUAACGUGUCUUUUGGUUUCUUUACUACUGCUUCCAUGGGUGUGAUUGUGGACCCAGGUAAAAUGAAAUCCUUGACAACUUCAAUCUUUUCUCUGUUUAUCAUAAUGCUGCUUAUUGGUCCAGUUGUCAGGUUUUUUGUUUUCUUUAUGUUGAGUUGUAAUCCAUACUAAAGGCUGUGGUCUUUGAUCUUGAUCAGUAAGGGCUUCAAGUCCUCUUCAUUUUCAGGAAGCAAGGUCGUGUCAUCUGCAUAUUGCAUGUUGUUCAUGAGUCUUCCUCCAGUCCUGAUGCCCCAUUAUUCUUCAGGUAGACCAGCUUCUCAGAUUAUCUGCUCAGCAUACAGAUUGAGUAGGUAUGGUGAAAGGAUACAACCCUGAUAGACAAUUUUCCUGACUUUAAACCACCCAGAAAGAAGGACCCGGUGGUCUACUUCUGAGAAGAAUUAGCCAGUGAAAACCUUAUGAAUAGCACUGAAACCUACUAGUAACUCUGCACAGAUAUAACGUCCACCAGAGUCAUGCACGAAACCAUGAACAUGCAGCUCAAUGUCCAAAAUAGGUGAUAGGCAUACCAGGACUUGGUACUGCUUUGCUUUUUUUUUUUUUUUUCCUGGCACCCUGAUGGGAAUUGGAGGUUUAGUGCCAGGGUAAUGGUCUGCCUCUAUGCCUCCCAUCCAGGGUGCCUUAGUAAAGGCCUUGGGCCCAGAACAUUCUCUGAUAAGGAAGCUGAGAAUUGGGUUGCCUUCUCUCUCCUAGUUCCUUCGUACCAAAGAAGACUUCCCCCUGUUCUGUGCACACGAUAACUUUCUGUUUCUUGCACAUGGGCAGGCACCAUAUGGCACCUGGCCAACCCCACGUCCAUAGCUGUUCCUGGUGGGGAGGGAAAGGGAAUGGGGUCUCUUGUAGUACAGCACAAGAGGAGGGACAUACCAGAUUGUAAGAGCUGGCCUCAAGAGGUAGACUGAAGGAGAAACAGGCUUUGCAAUGCUGAACAUGAGUCCCUCAUGUGGUCCACUAGUUCACUACAAUUUGCUAAAUCAUCCUUAUGUAAGUCCCUUGCAUGUAGCCAUUAUUGUCCACUACCUUAUAAAACCUUCUCUCCCACUGUAGCAUGUGGAGAUCUGAUUUGGUCCUGAGGCUGCUCAGCAUAUGACCUUGCAUGUAAGACUUCCAAAAAAACUCCUUCACUGCCCCAUUGGAUUUACCUGCCUCUUUCUUCCAUCUCUAGGCACCCUCUACUUUCAGAGGCAAGUUUCACAUUACUGGUCCAUUCCUGCACAGAGUGCCAUUAUUUUUCGCUUGUAAUCAUGGUUGGCAUUCAGCUGGUGAAGACUUUUAGGGUAGAUGUAUCAGCCUGUAUUCAUUCUGAUUGGAAGACAGCUAUUUUGGUUGGUUAACACCUAACCCUACAAAUUGUUAAAUAUUUUUAUUUCGCUUCUUCUCAUAACUGACAAAGGCUUCAAGUAUGAGUCAGAGGGCUGGAAAAUGAAUUAUUGAAAUCAAAUAGUGGGAUAAACUGAACCAAACUUUUGAAUUGCUAAAUCACAAAGAUUUAAACUAAGAUUUUAAAAAAAUGAAUCAUUGUCAAUUUUUUUGUUAUUAAUGCACUAAGUUACCUAAGUUAUAUUUUCAUUAUUUUAUCUUCAUCUGAUCCCUUACUAUUUAAUUUUUGUUUGUAUCUUAUAAUAUUUUACUAUAAUUAUAAAUGUAAAACUUUAUAAAUAAAUAAAUAUACAUUUACUGGGGUCCAUGUUCAAAUGUUUUUAUUGAUAGGGGUCCAGGACAAAGUACUUGGAGACCACAGCUCUAGAGAGUCUCCCAAGAGCUGGAGGUAGUGAUGAAUUUAAAGAACAGAAUUAAUAGGAAGGAAAGAGGAAAGUAUUUAGGUGAAAGGAGAGGAAAAUCUGGCACAAAAGGGAUAUGCAACAGUCAAAUCUUGAAAGCAGAACAUUUCAAGUUGCUAGUCUUAUUGUUUUUGUAACUAACGUUAGUAUACGCAAGUUAACACUUAGAACCAGAAUAUAUUUCAUACUCUAUUUGCCAAACAUACUGUCCAGCAUAUUUUUCCUGAAUUGACUACCUUAAUAAAACUCAUUUUUUAAAGUAAAAACAGUUCACUGUAGGAACUUCAGGGGAAAAUCGCAUAAUUCCAAAGAAGGUUAUACGAAGUGUUUGUAAUCCCAUCACCCAGAGAUAAGCAUUUUUAACAUUUUAAGUAUAUUUCCUACCAAUAUUUAAUAUGUAAAUAU